CUUCUCCUUCUUCCUCUCUUCUUCUUCUUUCAUCUUCUAACUCAAGAAAAACCAAAAUUUCUCUCAAUUAUUCAAGUCGUGCGACUUCCAAGGGAAAGAAAUAAAUUGUUUUGCCCUUUCCCAAACCGUGCCAUACACUCAUUUCAUACCCAUUUUCGAGUUGUUCAUAGUUUGGGAUUUCAAAGCUUGUUUUCAUCUUCUAAGAGGUGAAAAAUUGAAGCCAAGAAUUGGUGUUUUCUCUAGUACAUUAAGCCGAAAUCAACUCUCCUCUUCAUGAUUCUUGUGUUUUGGGAAGGAGUUACUAAAGGACCUACUGACGUUGGAGGUACCGAAGCAUAUCGAGGUAUUGAUGGAGAGGCUGAGGAGCUGGGCACUACCGAGGAGGAAGGGGCUGAUGUUUCGUAGUCCCUUGUUAGGUUGGUUCUUUUGGUGAUAGUUCCUAGUUUAUAUGUUUUGAGGAUGGGCCCCAUGUGGGGAUGUUUAUUUGGGUUAACCUUUAAACAAGGUACCUUCGGGUACAAAGUAAAUUUUAUGAUGGGGUAUAGUGUAACUUCUAUGAUGGGGUGAUGGUAACCCUCAUACUUUGACUUAACUUCAUUUUGUAUGAACUGUAGGGACUGAGU